ensembl:lncRNA
CAAGCGAAGGUCUUGUGUGGAGUCUGUGUGGUGAGCUUGCAAGGAAUGCGGUGAGAUGCAAAGUGCAAGGGCCGGGCUGUGCACAUCGCACAUCUUCUCAGCACCUGGGAUGCAGAGAGUAAACCAAAAUUGAUGAAAACUAGCAGAGGAUACAGGAUGAAAAGGAGCACAAGGAAAGAUGAAAGACAGAAGAACCAAGGAGCACUGCCUAGACCCUAACAAUGUGAGAAGCUGCAAAAGAUAAGAUGAAUGCUUGAAGAUGUCUAAGAAGGUUUCAUCAGCAGCAGGAAGAGAGAAGGCACAGAAAAAAAUCACCAGAAAUUCCUCCAGAAAAUUGCUUCUUAUACUGUCCUCUAGAUUGGCUUAACCCUGAAGUGCAGGUUGACCUGAAUUCAGCUAUGAGAAAUGUCAUUUUGACUUAGUCCAAACAGAAAUCAUCCUGCCUGCUACCCACACCCAGCCGAGCUGCGCAGUCUGGAGGUCUGGGUGGGUGGCAAACCAUGGAGGCCUCUGCAAGGAAGUGGCACUUGUAGAUAAUCCCUUGUGAAUUCUCAUUACACAAAUUGCAAAGUGGUGGUGAUGACAGAUGUGGACAACGGGCUUUCUCAGCGUGUGACAGCCUGUCUGCAUUCAGUGAGCCAAGCUCCAGCCAUCCCUACACAUACUGCUGAUCUCAGCUGAGUGUUGAGGUGCUGUUUUGUGUGGGAGAGAUGUGGAUGUGCUGCAGAAUGAUUUUUGUAGCAGUGAAUUUACUAAUGCACAGAAUAGACUCCUUUUACAACACAAUGCACUCAAUAUUUCUGACGAAGUGCUGCCAGUUUCUUGAUAGUCGAGCCAUCAACUUUUGGACAAAAUAAUUGCUGGCAAUAUUUUGUGAUUACUCAUUGUUUUCCACCUGCCUCUGAAAGAGUGAAUUAAUUAAGUUUCUC